CGUGUCCACACGGCGCGUUGCGUUGCGUUGCGUCGUCGCAACGCAAAUAUUUUGACGCAUAGCCGGCCACACGGGCGCUGCAGCGUUACUAUGACGCAGUCAACGUUCCGUCGGCGCAGCGGCGACGCACAGUUGCGGCAAGUAUUUUGAAAAAAAUUCGCAGUCAGUCUAUAGCAAAUCAUGGAUCGGAAAAGACGUCUAGCAUUGCUCCUAUUACUACGUCACCGCCGAAAUCGACGCAAGAUCACAAGACGAUACCUAGGAAGUGGAAAUUCAAUAACUGAUUUACAUUUCAAAUUCAAACGGGGAAAAUCUACUAUUGCAUAUAUAAUACAAAGAGUUUGUCGUGCUAUAUGGACCAAUCUUCUUCGAGACAACAUCCCUGAACUGACAACUGAAAGUUUCCAAACAAUAGCGAGGGGUUUUGAUGUAAAGGCAAAUUUUCCUCAAUGUGUUGGUGCCAUCGACGGCAAACAUAUCCGCGUGUGUAAUCCUGCAAAUAGUGGCUCACUUUUUUUUAAUUAUAAAGCCUUUUUUUCGAUUGUGUUGCUAGCUAUUGUGGAUUCAAAUUACAAAUUCGUAUUUGUCGACAUCGGUGCAUACGGAAAAGAAUGCGAUUCAACCAUAUUACAAAAUUCUAAACUGUACGAGCUAAUGAUUAACAACAACUUACCACUACCUCAACCCCAGCCACUCUCUGGUAGCAAUAUACCAACCCCGUAUGUAUUUGUGGGUGACGAAGCUUUUGGACUGAGCAAACAUAUUAUGCGUCCAUAUGGCGGUCAAAAUCUCGACUUACAACAAAAGGUUUUCAAUUACCGUCUAAGCAGAGCCAGAAGAUAUGUCGAAUGCGCUUUUGGGAUUAUGGCUAACAAAUGGCGCAUUUUUCACAGACCGAUAGACGUGUCCUAUGACUUCGCUACUGACAUUAUAAAAGCAUGUUGUGUAUUACACAAUUUUGUCGCUGAUCGAGAUGGUUUUAGACAAAGAGAUAAAUUUGCUAUAAGUGUUGAUGAAUUUCUCCCAAUACAACCCGUACAUGAAGAACAGACAGCACCGAAUGUCAUAAGACAGCAAUAUGCGACCUAUUUUAUGACUAGAGGAACUCUGCCUUGGCAGCUAAAUAAGGUAUAAUUGUAUUAUGAGGGUUUUCAAGAUUUUCUUGCACCGCCAAUUCCGCGAUCAGUAAAAAAAUAAUAUUUUAUACCUACUCAGCGUAGUCUAGGUUAGUUUUGAGCUAAGUAAUAAAAUAGUACUCACGCUAAUCUAAAUUCCCUAAGUUUUAAAAUUUUAGAGUGUCGAGAUAUUAAUUUUGUACUGAUCGCGGAAUUGGCGGUGCAAGAAAAUCUUGAAAGCCCUCUUAAAUAAAAAAAAAAAUAAAUAUCUGUACUGUGAACUCACCAACUUUAUUUUUUCGUUCAGCUGUGAAAUUCUCGUAAUCAGGAAAUAAAACUUUUGAUAUGUC